rnacentral:rRNA from 1 species
UUGGUUAAGUUAGAAAGGGCGCACGGUGGAUGCCUUGGCACUAGGAGCCGAAGAAGGACGGGACUAACACCGAUAUGCUUUGGGGAGCUGUACGUAAGCGUUGAUCCAGAGAUUUCCGAAUGGGGGAACCCACUAUCUUUAGUCGGAUAGUAUCCUUACGUGAAUACAUAGCGUGAGGAAGGCAGACCCAGGGAACUGAAACAUCUAAGUACCUGGAGGAAGAGAAAGAAAAAUCGAUUUCCUGAGUAGCGGCGAGCGAAACGGAAAGAGCCCAAACCAAGAAGCUUGCUUCUUGGGGUUGUAGGACACUCUAUACGGAGUUACAAAAGAAAGUUAUAAAUGAAGCGGUCUGGAAAGGCCCGCCAAAGACGGUAACAGCCCGGUAGUUGAAAUAGCUUUCCCUCCAGAGUGGAUCCUGAGUACGGCGGAACACGUGAAAUUCCGUCGGAAUCCGGGAGGACCAUCUCCCAAGGCUAAAUACUCCCUAGUGACCGAUAGUGAACCAGUACCGUGAGGGAAAGGUGAAAAGCACCCCGGAAGGGGAGUGAAACAGUUCCUGAAACCGUGUGCCUACAAGUAGUUAGAGCCCGUUAAUGGGUGAUAGCGUGCCUUUUGUAGAAUGAACCGGCGAGUUACGAUUUGUUGCAAGGUUAAGCGGAAAAAGCGGAGCCGUAGCGAAAGCGAGUCUGAAUAGGGCGCAUAAGUAACAGGUCGUAGACCCGAAACCAGGUGAUCUACCCAUGUCCAGGAUGAAGGUAAGGUAAUACUUACUGGAGGUCCGAACCCACGCACGUUGAAAAGUGCGGGGAUGAGGUGUGGGUAGCGGAGAAAUUCCAAUCGAACUUGGAGAUAGCUGGUUCUCUCCGAAAUAGCUUUAGGGCUAGCCUCGAGGUAAAGAGUCAUGGAGGUAGAGCACUGUUUGGACUAGGGGCCCUUCUCGGGUUACCGAAUUCAGAUAAACUCCGAAUGCCAUGUACUUAUACUCGGGAGUCAGACUGCGAGUGAUAAGAUCCGUAGUCGAAAGGGAAACAGCCCAGACCACCAGUUAAGGUCCCCAAAUAUAUGUUAAGUGGAAAAGGAUGUGGGGUUGCUUAGACAACCAGGAUGUUGGCUUAGAAGCAGCCACCAUUGAAAGAGUGCGUAAUAGCUCACUGGUCGAGUGACCCCGCGCCGAAAAUGUACCGGGGCUAAACAUAUUACCGAAACUGUGGAUGAACCUCUUCGGAGGUUCGUGGUAGGAGAGCGUUCUAAGGGCGGUGAAGUCAGACCGGAAGGACUGGUGGAGCGCUUAGAAGUGAGAAUGCCGGUAUGAGUAGCGAAAGAAGGGUGAGAAUCCCUUCCACCGAAUAUCUAAGGUUUCCUGAGGAAGGCUCGUCCGCUCAGGGUUAGUCGGGACCUAAGCCGAGGCCGAUAGGCGUAGGCGAUGGACAACAGGUAGAGAUUCCUGUACCAGUGCUAAUUGUUUAACCGAUGGGGUGACACAGAAGGAUAGGGAAUCGCACGAAUGGAAAUGUGCGUCCAAGCAGUGAGUG